ensembl:lncRNA
GCAGGAUUCCGGCUGGAGGAGCGGGCGGGCUGCGCCCGUGGACUCGGAGUCAGACUCGGCUGCGGACUAACGGUCGCUUUUCACCCAGCGCCUGAAGCACCGCAGUGAAGAGACACGAUGGGGCAGGUAGCAAUCACAGUUCUCAUUGUCUUCCUUUAAUGUCAGCCCUAGGCUAUCGUAAACCUAUAUUUUGAACACAAAUACUAGUAUAAAAAUGAACUAUUAUCACAUAAACAUGCGUAUGUGUACCUGCGUGUGUGCCUAUGUGUGUGUGUGUGUGAGCGUAAAUAGUUCUUGGAUAUCUUGCCUGGAAACAGUUUUCCGUCUUAAUCUGGCUACUCUAAGAAUAGAAGUGUGCGGGUUUGUCUCCGUCAGAGGAAGCACUUGGAGCCUGUUUACAGUUCACAGAGAGGUGUCUGGAUUCGAUGCCUGCAGGAUGCCUAGUCUCGUAUUAUGUUGUCUAGUCAAAGCUUUGGUUUUUCCAGUGGUCAUGUAUGGAUGUGAGAGUUGGACUCUAAAGAAAGGUGAGCACUGAAGAAAUGAUGCUUUUGAAUUGUGGUGUUGGAGAAGACCCUUGGGAGUCCCUUGGACUGCAAGGAGAUCCACCAGUUCAUCCUAAAGGAAAUCAUUCCUGAAUAUUCAUUGGAAGGACUGAUUUUGAAAUGGAAACUCCAAUACUUUGGCCACCUGAUGCAAAGAACUGUUGCACUGGGAAAGAUCCUGAUGAUGGGAAAGAUUGAAGGCAGGAGGAGAAGGAGAAGACAGAGGAUAAGAUAGUUGUAUGGCAGCACCGACUCAAUUGACUUGAGUUUGAGUAAACUCUGGGAAUUGGUGAUGGACAGGGAGGCCUGGUGUGCUGCAGUCCAUGGGGUCACAAAGAGUUGGACAUGACUGCACUGAGCUAUUUCAAAUCCUGAAAGAUGAUGCUGUGAAAGUGCUGCACUCAAUAUGCCAGCAAAUUUGGAAAACUCAGCAGUGGCCACAGCACUGGAAAAGAUCAGUUUUCAUUCCAAUCCCGAAGAAAGGCAAUGGCAAAGAAUGUUCAAGCUACCACACAAUUGCACUCAUCUCACA